CUUGCAGGCUUGUUCUGACUUCAAGAACUCUCUGGCCUUCACAAGCUUGAAAAACUGUAUAAAGGAAGCAAAAGAAAAGUUUUACAUCUGCUCUUGGCUGUCACUCAGUGUUGGAUGCAACUGGAUACUUAACAUCUAAGGAGAUGGAGAAAUAAAUUGCAUUGCUCUCAGUGCAAGUCUGAUCAAGCUCUGAAAGGUCUUGUUUCCUGAUGUCUGUUCACUGAGGAUAAAUCUACAUUUCUCCCAUGUGAGGAAUUAUGCUGAGAUCUGCCCAUGGAAAAUUACAUUCUAGGAGCAAGAAUCAGAAAGGACCUUUGCUUUUAGACUUUCCUUUAAGAGAGGACAUAAUCCUGGCCUCCCUUCUCCAACCAAAGUGAGAAUAUCUCACAAGAUGGGAUUUAAAUGCAGAAUGAGCUCUUAAGGAAAGGCUCCAAUCUGCAUGCCACACCUCUGCCCCCUCUUGUAUACAAUGGAAAGCCAGUCAAUGUUAUUGUAAAUCGUGAUGGCUAAGUCCAGAAAAACCAUAUUUUGCACCUCAUCUGGUCUAAAUAUUGAGUUUACGAGUGAAUGUUGCUUUGCAUUAUGUGUUAUAGAUGCUUUAUGUUUAUUUAAGAACUCAGUUUGCAGGAAUGUUUUCCAGACAUGCGGUUUACCGCAAUAGACAGUUGUUGAUAUUCUGAUCCCAAGAGCAUUAGAAUAUGUUUAGAAAUUGCGACACUUUUAAAACCAGAUGUUCUACAUAAGCUACACAAAAAAAAAAAGGGGGGGGGGGGAACAAAUAGAACUGUCAUUUGGCAUGAAAACAGCCUGUGUUAAAGCAAAGGCAAACACAUACCAAGUGAAAUAAACGUGGUGAACUGCCCUCAACCCUUUCCUUCUUUUCUAAGUAACUAUUUUAACAAAAGAUGGAAAAUCCCAGCUCACACAUGGUGUGGGAAUGGAGAAGGAAGGCUUUCAGGUCCAAAUUCACAUAUGAAGGAAGCUGAUGGAUCUUGUUCCUGGGAUGGAUCAAACCAGAAUGACAGAGCUAGGCAACUUCAGGCAAGGAAAGAAUGUAAAUCUGGAUUCAAAGCUCAGGACAGAGAUUCAUUUUCUGUUGUUUCUAAAGGUAAAGAAUCAUCAAUGAGGAGGCAAACAACAUUAUGCCCUGCAUGGUGAAUCACCAUGAAGAGGUUCUUGCCAGCAGCUGCAGGAUGGUGGCACAUGCUGCAUUGUCCUCCAGGAUGGUUUGAUGAAAAUACUUCUGUAAACAGAGAAGUAUUAAAAUUUCCUCCUCUACAAGGCAGGAAGAGCAGACACAGCCCUGGACUUCCUCUCCCAGAUCCUUCCUGACCAAGAUGCCCUUCUCCAAGGGAGGAGCCGUGACCUUCAAAGGCCAUGUCUUGGUAGAUCAGGAUGUACUCAUAUUCAUAGCACACAUCAGUUGCUCUGUUGCAAAACAGGUGAGUUAAUAAACUUACUGUGUUAGCCAAUUUUGAGACAUUUCUGCUGGAAAGAGAAAUACAUGGUGAAUUAAAGAGAAACCUGUAAGUGCAUGUAAUAAAGACAACUGAGUUGUUUGGGAAGCUCCCAUUUCCAGCUCCCAGAGUUCCUCUACGUCCCUGAGAAUAAAAGAUGAGCGGUCCCCAUCUUUGGUGAAAGGCUUGAUGGAGCUGGCAAUAUCACUCUGGUUUAACACCGACUAUAAAGGAUGCUUACAUUUCAACAGCAUUUUUAAUAAUAUUUUUUGUAAGCAAAAGCUAAAGGAGUUACUUUCCACCAGGGUCAUGAAGAGUUCACUAAAUGCUGAUAGACUGUAUUCUGUAUUAAUGGUGCUAAGCUAACUGCCUCACAGAACUGCCAGAGCCCUUUAUUUAAAGAAAUAGCACUGUAUUUCACAAGAAAAUAUUUUUAAAGCCUUCUCUGCUAAUAAUUUGUCUAAAGAGAGACAGGUCUAAUUGUUUAUAUUGAAUCUGGAGGGCGCAGUACUGGAUGUGUUCAGUAAGAUACAUGCUUUAUUUGAAUAUAUAUUUAAAGCAGCAUGCAACACAGAUCAUUAAAGCAUUUUAUAUUCUUUUUAUUUAACAGAAUACCAGCAAUUAGCUUUUCCAGCUAAUUACUGGAUUCUACAACUGACUCUUCAAAAAGCUAUGAGGUUUAAGUUGAGGCCUUUA